rnacentral:rRNA from 1 species
GCAGCCGCCACGGUAACACGUAGGGUGCGAGCGUUAAUCGGAAUUACUGGGCGUAUAGCGUGCGCAGGCGGUUUGUUAAGACAGAUGUGAAAUCCCCGGGCUCAACCUGGGAACUGCAUUUGUGACUGGCAAGCUAGAGUAUGGCAGAGGGGGGUGGAAUUCCGCGUGUAGCAGUGAAAUGCGUAGAUAUGCGGAGGAACACCGAUGGCGAAGGCAGCCCCCUGGGCCAAUACUGACGCUCAUGCACGAAAGCGUGGGGAGCAAACAGGAUUAGAGACCCGCGUAGUCCCUGUCUCUUAUAC